rnacentral:rRNA from 1 species
CGUCAUCGUAGGGUUAGUCGGGACCUAAGUCGAGUCCGAAAGGGGUAGACGAUGGCAAAUCGGUUAAUAUUCCGAUACCGACGGUUGUUUGUUUGAAUGAUGGGGGGACGCAUAGAGUUAAUCGAGCUCACUGAUGGAAUAGUGGGUCGAAGGACGUAGGUCGCAAGGUAGGCAAAUCCGCUACACAUGAGGCCGAGAUCUUACAGGCUCUUCAAUAGCUUCGGCUAGCGAGGAGAAUCGAUGAUACUGUCGUGCCGAGAAAAGCCACUAAGUAUAUUAUAUGUUGCCCGUACCGUAAACCGACACAGGUGGGUGAGAUGAGUAUUCUAAGGCGCGUGGAAGAACCCUGGUUAAGGAACUCUGCAAACUAGCACCGUAACUUCGGAAUAAGGUGUGCCUCCUCUUGUAUAGGACUUCGCGUCCGAAAGCGAGAGAGGUUGCAACAAAGAGUCCCUCCCGACUGUUUAC